ACGAUGAAGCUGGAGCUUGCUCCAGUGGAUUAGUGGCGAACGCCUGUAUUAACACGUGAGCAAUCUGCCCUUGACUCUGGGAUAACUGCGGGAAACUGUAGCUAAUACCGGAUACGACACCUUGGGGCAUCCCAGGGUGUGGAAAGAAUUUCGGUCAAGGAUGAGCUCGCGGCCUAUCAGCUAGUUGGUGAGGUAAUGGCUCACCAAGGCGACGACGGGUAGCCGGCCUGAGAGGGUGACCGGCCACACUGGAACUGAGAUACGGUCCAGACUCCUACGGGAGGCAGCAGUGGGGAAUAUUGCACAAUGGGCGCAAGCCUGAUGCAGCAACGCCGCGUGAGGGAUGAAGGCCUUCGGGUUGUAAACCUCUUUUAGCAGGGAAGAAGCGAAAGUGACGGUACCUGCAGAAAAAGCACCGGCUAACUACGUGCCAGCAGCCGCGGUAAUACGUAGGGUGCAAGCGUUGUCCGGAAUUAUUGGGCGUAAAGAGCUCGUAGGCGGUUUGUCGCGUCUGCUGUGAAAAUCCAAGGCUCAACCUUGGACCUGCAGUGGGUACGGGCAGACUAGAGUGCGGUAGGGGAGAUGGGAAUUCCUGGUGUAGCGGUGGAAUGCGCAGAUAUCAGGAGGAACACCAAUGGCGAAGGCACAUCUCUGGGCCGUAACUGACGCUGAGGAGCGAAAGCGUGGGGAGCGAACAGGAUUAGAUACCCUGGUAGUCCACGCCGUAAACGGUGGGUGCUAGUUGUGGGCCACAUUCCACGUGGUCCGUGACGAAGUUAACACAUUAAGCACCCCGCCUGGGGAGUACGGUCGCAAGACUAAAACU
rnacentral:rRNA from 1 species